AAUUAGCAACAUAGAAGCGAUAAUGAAGAGAAUUGAAACAACACAGCAGAAAAUUCUCAAAUGUGUCCAAGAGCGCCAUUGUGCACCAGCAAAGCCGCAUAGACUACCCAUUACAACAAUGGAAGAAAUGGAUGCUUUUGAAAACGAGGAUGAAUAACGUUAUUCGGAAGCGGUAACUUAUUUACAUUACGUUGGUGGCUUCAACCUCAAGGAAGCUACACAGUUGUGUCUCAAGGAAGCAGUGUCCGACGCCCUAAU